rnacentral:rRNA from 1 species
UACGUAGGGCCCGAGCGUUGUCCGGAAUCAUUGGGCGUAAAGAGCGUGUAGGCGGCCCCUUAAGUCCUGCGUGAAAUCCUGCGGCUCAACCGCAGACGGUCGUGGGAAACUGGAGGGCUAGAGUGCGGGAGAGGAGAGUGGAAUUCCCGGUGUAGCGGUGAAAUGCGCAGAUAUCGGGAAGAACACCCGUGGCGAAGGCGGCUCUCUGGAACGCAACUGACGCUGAGACGCGAAAGCGUGGGGAGCAAACAGG